rnacentral:rRNA from 1 species
CACGUAGGAGGCGAGCGUUUGUCCGGAAUCAUUGGGCGUAAAGAGCGCGCAGGCGGCUUGGCAAGUCGGGUGUGAAAUCCCGGGGCUCAACCCCGUGACUGCAUCCGAUACUGUCAGGCUAGAGGUAGGUAGGGGAGAUCGGAAUUCCUGGUGUAGCGGUGAAAUGCGCAGAUAUCAGGAGGAACACCGGUGGCGAAGGCGGAUCUCUGGGCCUUACCUGACGCUCAGGCGCGAAAGCUAGGGGAGCGAACGGG